ensembl:snRNA U2 U2 spliceosomal RNA
AUCGCUUCUCAGCCUUUUGGCUAAGAUCAAGUGUUUUCAUAACACUUUUGUUUUGUUUGGGUUUUUUUGUUUUGUUUUGUUUUUUCUACCAGGGAUCAAACUUGGGUCCUUGCUCUUGCGCAGCAGGCGACCAAACCACUG